AUGGGACCGAUGCGCUUCGCAGGUACCUAUGACAGCGGCGGGACAUCCAAGAAGAAAGAUAAGGCGAGGCCCUCUUCACCCGAAGAAGAGACCCUCUUCUGUAGUAAUGUUACUUUACUAGGAGAAGGUGCAAUAACCGGCCAUCGUUUUCCAGAAAUUAGACCAAGACCUGUGCAGACUAGUUCAAGAGUCAUUUUCCUUAAUUUUAUUUUUCACAUUGGUAUGAACGGCAUAAUACAUUACAUAAUCCUGUUAAGACGGAGUCAUGCAUGCUUCUACUUUAAUGUGUUUUUUCAGCAAGCAUCUUCCAUCAUUCACCAAGGAGGAAAUGUUCUCUAUGGUAGACAAAUAUUUGAAUGUGGACGAAGAUGCUUGCUGAAAAAACGAGGUCCAUCAAGAGUUCAGGGUCGAAGAGACCAAUGCUGGUUGAUGGGACCGAUGUGCUUCGGAGGUCCCUAUGACCGUGGCGGGACAUCCAAGAAGAAAAAUAAGACGAGGUCGUCUUCACCCGAAGAAGAGGCCCUCUUCUAUGUUACUUUAGUAGGAGAAGGUGCAAUAACCGUCCAUUCUUUUUUUAGAAAUUAG
rnacentral:rRNA from 1 species